rnacentral:lncRNA from 1 species
CCAGACCUCAUUUAAGGGUUGGCAGUGGAGGUGAAGGUGUCUUGCUGGAGAUCCCUGCCUAUCUACGACCUUCUGAGGGGUGUCUUUAUCAGAAGGUCAUAAAUCACAGCCACUCACAUUAUGGAGCGAUGAUUCUCAUAGGGCUCUGCUAAGACUUGGACUGCAGCUGGGCUUGCAAGGAGGCUCCGAGAGGUGAAAAGUAAAAGAGAGGUAAAAAGGAGAGGCUGUUCCAAGCAUGGGAGAUGGAGAAGAGCACACACCCUGCCAGGGUAAACGCAAAACCCUAAGACAGAUGGGACAGGCGUGGUAGAAGCAUGAAAACUGAAACCACUGAGCUUUCCAAACACAGCAGAGACAGGAAGCCUGCAGAGACAAGCAGGGGCAAUCAAGGAAAAGGGAAAAAGAGAAACAGAUUAUUUUGUUCUUUAUUCGCAAGCAACAUGUCUCCAGAAGCCUUGGGCCUGAGCUGCUGCCAAAUGCUCCUCAUUCCACUCGAGCACCAGAGAGAUGGGCAAAACACGGAAAUACAGACUGCUGAGGCUGGCCUUUGGGUUCAUUGGUGGGAAAUAGAAUUGAG